rnacentral:rRNA from 1 species
AAAACUCUGUCCUCAAGGAAGAUAAUGACGGUACUUGAGGAGGAAGCCCCGGCUAACUACGUGCCAGCAGCCGCGGUAAUACGUAGGGGGCUAGCGUUAUCCGGAUUUACUGUGCGUAAAGGGUGCGUAGGCGGUCUUUCAAGUCAGGAGUGAAAGGCUACGGCUCAACCGUAGUAAGCGCUUGAAACUGGGAGACUUGAGUGCAGGAGAGGAGAGUGGAAUUCCUAGUGUAGCGGUGAA